UACGGAGGGUGCGAGCGUUGCUCGGAAUUAUUGGGCGUAAAGGGUAGGUAGGUGGUCUCAUUUGUCUGGGGUGAAAGCCUUGAGCUCAACUCAAGAAGUGCCUCAGAAACGGUGGGACUGGAGUCCUGGAGAGGGUCGUGGAAUUCCCGGUGUAGCGGUGAAAUGCGUAGAGAUCGGGAGGAACACCAGAGGCGAAGGCGGCGACCUGGACAGGAACUGACACUAAACUACGAAAGCGUGGGGAGCAAACAGG
rnacentral:rRNA from 1 species